rnacentral:lncRNA from 1 species
GCCCCAACGAUUUUGAAAAGCAACACAUCAGAACACAUUAAACUUUCAUAAUCUUUAAAUGCUUUAACAUUCUUAUUGAUAACAGUUUGGCUUUAAUUAUCACAUAAAAAUUUAAUCUAUCAUUUUUGUGCUAUGCAAAGCCAAGACAAAUGUAUCAUAUAUUAAAUACAUAAUUUAAUUAAGCUGAGUAUUUAAACAAGGCCGAAUUUUUUUCUCAGUGGGAGGAAGGGAGGACGAUUGGUGAUUAUACUAAAAACCAAUUUUCUUAUGCUUCAGUUAUUACAUGUGAUCAAAGAGUUAUCACACAGGUUCAACUUUGGCUUUCUAAGUCAAACAAACAAGCUUUAUCUUGGCUAAAAUUCUUUAUAAGGCAAAACAUAUUGACUGGUAGCUCAUUGCCUAAUUGAUAACACAUAUGUCAUGGCAUUAUUUUAAUAUGACUCUUUAACAAUAAAACAGUUAAUAUUUCCUAUUGGAUCGUGUAACAUCUUAAAAUAUUGGUAAUAACAGUUCCAAAUGGUUAUAAAUGUAUUUGAAGUAUUUGAACAGGAAAUAGAGACUAAAUAUAUACAUAAAUAAUUUGUUACAAUUUAGAUUUCUUUGAAUGCAUAAUGUUGAAAUUAGUUUUUCCUUUUGCAUCUUUAAUUCCUUGUGUAUCAAAGCGCUUAAGUCCAUAACAGAGGUGAACUUGAGGUCAAUGCUGUCAAAUAAUUUCUAAGUAGUUUCCAGAUUUUUUUCUUUUUUUUUUUGCCUUUGGUGCCGAAAAGGCUAAUCAACUUUAUGUACUUACAACUUACCUUCAAUUUAUCAAACUGCAGGUAUAAUAGUCAAAAUAUUCAACAACCAAUAUGGUAUGAACACAGAUGCUGCUUCUAUAUCUUAAAAUGUAUUUUUCAGCAUCCUGGCUGAAUAAACAUCCUCCCUAAUUAUGGGGAAAGUGGUAUGUCCAACACAAUAACCUAAGUAUCUAUGUGGCAGGAUAUCUCUUUUAGAGUAUCACAGCGUUUAAUCCUUACAUUUUUUUCUAUAAAACAUUUUUUAUGAUUACUUGGAAAAAGAUACAAAAGAACAUAAUUUGGUGUAAUUAUUUCAAUGAAGCUAAUGAGAUUUCCUGCCACACAGAUGAAUACAGAGCAUUACCUUCAUAACUGUUAUAACCUGUUGUGGCAGAUGACAUCUGGAGUAUUUGUCCUGGUCUGAGCAAUACAUUAUAAAAUUGGUUUAGAAAAAUUUGCAGCAGAGAUUAGUAUGGCUAGAUCUGCCUGGAAAAUGACCUGUGAAGGAAAGUUAAGAAAAAAAUGUAUGUUUAACUUGGGAAAAAAAAAAUUUUGGAAGCAGGGCCUGUGAUACAGUUUGGAUAUUUGUCCCUGCCCAAAUCUCAUGUUGAAUUGUAAUCCCCUUUAAACACAAACAGUUUAAAAAGCACUUAACAACUGGG